rnacentral:lncRNA from 1 species
CUAUGUCUAGCUCGUAUAAUAUUCAUGGCCUCCUGAUUUUCUUCCUUGUAUCCACACAUUCAUUUGCUAUGAAAAUGGCAUCCAUGAUCUGUCCAUAUUAUAUAGCCCAUGCUCUAGAUGUUCAGUCUUGAGCAUGUGAGGAGGGAGGGUUAAAAGUUUCACAUUGGUUGUGGGAUGGGUAAUUAGUCUUCUUGUAUGAUUUUGGGCAAUCCUCACCUAAUUUAUGGGUUGAGUUAGGCCCAAGAUCCAUUUCUUCACAAUAAUAUUUCAAACUAUUUGGCCCCCAAGGCCUAGCUCAAGUGGCAAAAGGUGGAGGAUUUGUGGCUUAGGUCGCAGGUUCAAGCCCCACACCAUGCAAAGCGAAGCUCGGUAUUUAAGUGGAGAAGGGUAGAGGGGCGGGUCCAUUAUCCACCGAGUUUAGAAGGCUGUGAUUGGUCCAAAGGGCAUGUCACAGACAGAUUUCUCGGUUAUCAAAAAAAAAAUAAAAAAAUUCAAACUAUUUGGAAAAACCAAAAAACGCAGUCCAAGAAAUAAUUGUUUCACAAUCCAAUGGCAGUACUUAUAUUUUUCGGAACAGAAGUACAUUUUUGUCAAUAUGUGCAAUUACUGAUAUUCGUACAUGCUUCUACAUAUUUAAAAUUUAUUUUCAAGAAAUUAUUUGGUCUUGUUUAGUUCUUAAAAUUGAUCAAAUUGGAUGUAAGUCAGGACUCUUGCGUUGUUCGAAGGAGUGGGUUUAGCUCUAGUGGAAAAAGGUGGAGGAUUUGUGGCUUAGGUCGCAGGUUCAAGCCCCACACCAUGCAAAGCGAAGCUCGGUAUUUAAGUGGAGAAGGGUAGAGGGGCG